rnacentral:rRNA from 1 species
GGCCAUGGCCCAGGAGAGACGCCCGGUCCCAUUCCGAACCCGGAAGCUAAGACCUGGCACGGCGAUGGUACUGCACCCGACAGGGUGUGGGAGAGUAGCACGCCGCCGCAC